rnacentral:rRNA from 1 species
AGCGAACGCUGGCGGCAGGCUUAACACAUGCAAGUCGAGCGGGCAUAGCAAUAUGUCAGCGGCCGACGGUUGAGUAACGCGUGGGAACGUACCUUUUGGUUCGGAACCUCUGAGGGAAACUUCAGCUAAUACCGGAUAAGCUCUUACGGGGAAAUAUUUAUCGCCGCAAGAUCGGCCCGCGUCGGAUUAGCUUGUUGGUGAGGUAAUAGCUCACCAAGGCGACGAUCAGUAUCUGGUCUGAGAGGAAGAUCAGCCACAUUGGGACUGAGACACAGCACAAACUCCUACGGGAGGCAGCAGUGGGGAAUAUAGGACAGUGGGCGCAAGCCUGAUCCAGCCAUGCCGCGAGAGUUAUGAAGUCCCUAAGGUUGUAAAGCUCUUUUGUGCGGGAAGAUAAUGACGGUACCGAAAGAAUAAGCCCCGGCUAACUUCGUG